AUGAGGGCUCUAUUCUGGAACAUUAGGGGUUUCGGUGCUAGGGGGCGCCGGGAUCAAAUUAAAGACUUGGUUCGUGCGAAUAAUGUUGAUUUGAUAGGGAUGGUGGAAACUUUCAAAACUUCUUUCUCUCCUCAUGAACUGUCGUCUAUUGCGGGUAUGGAUAGAAUUGAUUGGCAUGUGUUACUUGCGUCGGGCCAUUCGGGGGGCAUCCUCUUUGGCUCCAAAAAAGAUGUUUUUGAUUUCGUUGCCUUUGAUCAUGGAAUCUUCUGGGCCAGCAUAGUUGUUUGCCACAAAGCCCUUAAAUUGCUGUGGGAGUUCAUUGUAGUAUAUGGGCCAGCUGAUCACGCGCUUUCUUCUCUAUUUCUGGACGAGCUCUCUGAGAAGAUUGAUACUUGCAAUCUACCGAUGGUUAUCGGUGGUGACUUUAAUCUCCUUCGUUCCCCUUCUGAUAAAAAUAAUAACAACUUCUCGUGGCCCCUGGCUAAUGCGUUCAAUGAAUUUAUUUGUUCUAAUGCCAUCCGCGAGCUACCUAGGGUUGGAGCCCGCUUCACUUGGUCUAAUCACCAGGCUAACCCGAUCAGAUUGGUUCUUGAUAGAGUUUUUAUUUGCUCUAGGUGGGACUCGUUAUUUCCCAGGGCCUCCCUCGUUGCCAAAUGUAUUGUUGGUUCAGAUCAUACUCCUCUUCUUAUGGACGAUGGGUCACAGCUUCAUAGACCUCCUGCUAGAUUCCAAUUUGACGCUUCUUGGCUGUUGAUUGAGGGCUUCAGUGAUAUGCUGGCCUCGAAGAUUACCCUCCUUCUCUCCUCUAAUGCUCGAUCCUUUGGCCCUCUGGAUGACUGGCACUCGUGCUCCUAUUCUUUGCGGAAAAUUUUGAGAGGGUGGUCCCGUAACCAUGCAGCUGAGAGCGUCACUCGAAAGAUCUUCUUGAAGCUCAAAUUAUGUCCCUUGACCUUGCGGCUGACUCCUCUGGGCUCUCUGACGAAGGGUGGUCUCUACGUUAUAACCUGGAGGCCGCCUUGA
rnacentral:rRNA from 1 species